CUGGCCUGGAAGGUGGGAGGAGGUCUGAGGAACUGGGUCAGGAGCUGGCCAAGCUCGUCAUCCUCCAGAUGUGAUGGUGAAGGUGGGAGGGUGUGACUCACCGAGACAAGCAGGGAUGUUUUGGAUGUUUCUGAAACUCUGAAGUCCCCUAUCCCCUUGCCAGCUCCUGACAAGGGCGUGCAUGGGGUGAGCCCCUGAAAUAGCAGAGUGAACCAGGGUGCCCAAGGGGACACCCAUCAGCAUUCUUUUCUCAGGCUCCCCACAGGGAGCGCAUGCGGAAUGCUGGGAUUUUAAGCCAUUCCUGGAGCCCUUGUGGUUCCAGCUUCAACCCCAGCUCCACCCCCCACCCCAUGGCCAUGGAGUCGGCCUUUGGGUCCACAGGCCCACAGAGACGGUGAGUCCCCAAGCCCUGGGCCUGGCGGAAGAGAACCUCGGCUGUAGAAGUGGGCUGACUACAGCUUGUUGUGCUGUUGCUAAGUUCUGUGCUGAUCAAUCUGGCCUCAGGGGUUUUUUUUUUUCGUUUGGUUUCUUGUUCUGACGGGAACUGGGCGAAUCUGGAGCCGGUUCAUCACAGCCACAGCAUUCCAGAGGGUGUGACUCCGCGAGCUCCUUUUUGGCCUCAGAUCCCGCGUCCACACCCUCCCCAGCUGCCGAGCGGAUGGAUGGACGGUCGGGAGAGCAGCUCAAACCAAGGUUCAUCAUGAAAGGAUCCCUGGCAGCUCUUGGGCCAAGAGUAGAAGCAGACGUAGGGCCUCAGGAGCUCAAAUCCUUUUUGGUACAACAAAUGUGUGCUGGCAGUAGGAGAAGGCACAUCCUCUGAGCCUCUGUUGCCCUACCUGUAAAAUGGGGAUGCUGGUGAACUCACAGACUUAUUCUGAGAUAUGAAAACUGAGGCUUUGAGUGGAGAAGUAAUCUACCCAAGGGCAUACAGUUAUUACUUGUUGAGGCAUUUGGAACAAAGUCCCAGAAUUUUGGUGGUAUUAUUCGAACAUCUACUGAGGACUUUCUAGGGGAUAGUCACUCACUCCUUUAUAAAGAAGACAUAUGUAAGUACCUGCUGCUCCCUAACCCUUGGGAUAAGUCCUGGGGCCCAGAGAUGGGGCAAGACAACUCACUUCUCCCUGUUUCCUUUCACCAGGACACUCUGGGGAGGCACGCUGCUGCUCAGGUGGCAUAAUGCGGACAAUGAGCCUUUCCCAAGCCUCUCCGAUGAGCCCAGAGGCCUUUCAUUUAAUUCUUAAAAAGCCUUUGAAGGUCAGAGGUUAUUGGCCCAUAUUACAGAUGGGGAAACUGAGGCUUAGAAUUUGGUAACUUACCCACAGUAAGUCACAGAGCUAACAAGUGGUAGAAGCAGAUCUUGAACUCAGGUCUAGCUGGCUCCAAGUCAAGUGCUCUACCAGUCCACAAAGAUCCCUCUCAAACGUCAAGUCUUUAGUGCCCUCCUGGCCUGGAACCCUCUUCCCAGCUUACCUCUCAAAUAGGCAACUGGGCUGUUAUCACUCAGGUCUUAGCUUCUCCAGUCACCCCAUCAGAGAGGCCUCCCUGAUCACCAAAAUCUAAAGGACCCCCCCUUUAAUAUCUCACCUUCAGAGCCUUCAUUCUUAUCUUCUUUCUUAAUUAUUUAUUUACACACGCCAACAGCACCAUUGUUAGCUACUUGAGAAUAGAAACUUUGAAAAAAACGUAAAAAAAAAAAAAAAGAAUAGGAACUUUGUCUAACACCAAAGCAUCCCUGGGCCUAUAGAGAGUCAAUAAAUAUUUGUUGAAUGAAUGAACGAACGAAUGAAUGGACUGCUGCUUAGCCUAAAAAGCCACAGUCAAGAAAAAGGUGGUUCUACCGUAUUUCCCUUAGCAGAGCACAGUUGGGUGCACUGUGGCCCUAGCAACCGGCAUACCCUUUGUUCGCCGAAGGAUGAGGACACCUCCUGAGCCGAUAAAGGGGAGCAGAGGCUUGGCUGGACCCAGAGGCUGUUCUCCAACAGGUUUGCCCUGCAGGGCCCCAGGAAAGUCCCCAUAAGUGGUCAGCCCUCCCACCUGCUCCCCAGAAUGCAGCCUGCGGAGAAAAAUAGCCCCGGGUGACCUGGGUCACCCGUUGAGGUGUGGGAAACCUGAGCUCGGCCCGCGCGACCUCGGCUUUGUUUGCCUCUGUGUAUGGCAACCAGAAACCACCGAGCCUGCAGUUCUCAGAGGCCGCCUCCCGCACCCCGCACCCCCCUUUAUGUUAAUCUCCUAAACUGAUUUGUCAGCAGCAGGAAGUGACAUGACAGCUUUCCUCACAAAAGGGAAACUCCUCCGCGUUUCCAUGGGGAUGGAGGCUACUGUAGGAUCACAGAUUUAUAUAAUCUUAAAGGGGUACACGCAAUGACGUCAUCCACCAGGGGCCAGGGGAGGGAGGGAGGGAGGGAAAUGGAGGCCGGAGGCUGCAAGUUCAAGGCCAAUUAGCUGCGAUUUGCAAAAUUCCAAGGAAAAGACAGGAUGCAGUGGAAGCACUUGGGGUUGGUAGUCUCCUAAUGGAAUAAUGGGUGUCUGGAAACCACCAAAAAGCAUAAAGUAUGCAUUGAUGCGUAUUCUACGUACUAGAAUUAGAGGGCUGGGAGGAAGCUUACCCAUUAGAUCCACUGCAAGGUGGUCAUUUUAUGGGUGGGAAAACUGAGACCCAAGAACCGCUAGAGGUCAUUAGGAGAGGGGAAAGAGACCUGAAUGUUUCUCCAGUGCCCACAACAUGCCAGGCACUUCUACAUUCAUGAGCACCUUUCCUCCUCAAGUGAAGUAGGUUUUAUUAUCUUCAUUUUACAGAUGAGGAAACCGAGGCCCAAAGGGAUAAAUGGCUUUUCCACUUUGAUAUUAUGGGGUAAAACCAUGCUGACGUCUGGUUAGCUACAAAGCUCAUCUUUUCCUCACUCCCACGAGCUGUCUUUUGGACUGAACUAGGGCUUUCUUCCCCAGUCUUCUUACAGACCCUUGUUCCCAACUUUGCAGUGCCGUUUACUUGCUGUAUGACCUUGAGCUACAAUUAGAGGGUUGUCGCUUCACCUCUCUGAGCCUCAGUUUCCUCCUCUGUAAAAUGGAUGUUGCUUUAAAAGUUAAAUUGGAGCAUCUGGAAAGCACUUAGCACAGUGGCUGGCACAGGGCGCUAACUCUAAAAUUGACAGCUGUUAUUACAUUCUCAGUAUUAAAUGAUCGAGUUGUCCCUAUGUCAAUCUCCCAGCUGAGAAACAACAUUUUAAUAGCUUAAGCAUCUUUCUUCUCAUCUUAGGCACUUUUUUUCCUUCCUAAGAAAAGCAGUCUCAGGCCAAAACUGACAUCUUCUGGAGGGCCUGAGACCAGGAAUCGGAUGCAUGGGGAGGAGGGGUUAUCACCCUGGCUCUCCAGGGCUGGCAGGAGGUUAAGUAGCUUGUGCUGGGAGAAGUCAGUGAAUUGUUUUCACUGGCGGCUCCCUUAGGCAGCCACUGUAUUUUUCCACUGUGUGGAUCACAGUGGAGAUUAAUGUUGGUUCAGCCAGUGCCUGCCAAGCAGAAAGUGAUGGCCCGAGCCCACGGGGAUGUCAGCCGUGGCAUCUGCCACGGACCCCAAGUCGCUGGUACAUUUCCACGAAGGGAGAUAUUUGCAAGAGUAGAUUUCUAGGGUUUGAUAAAAACAAUGGGUAUGGUUUGUUUUGAAAGGCGUGAACACACUUGUCACUGGAAGCCUGGCCGAGGAAAUGAAUUUGCCAGCCCGGGGUAAGUUCUUAGAACAUGGAACACAGGGAUCUUUCAGGCCCUGGGAGUCAGGUGGUGCACCAGUGCAGAAAGGUCAAGGCCUUGAAUGAUGGGGCUGGACCAGGACCACUACUCAGAGCACCCCUAGAAAAGUAAAGUAAGAUUUUCGCUUUUCUGCUUCCUACAGCACUUUGUCCAGAAACAAGUAAAGGAGUGCAGGGGCUAAGGGGCCAGCAACCCAGGAGCGUCACUGUUAUUUAGUUCAACAUUAAAGACUGGAUUAUGGGUUGGUAGUUAAUUACACCUUCUCUGCAUUGGCCUGUUUGGCAAGACAGAGUGAAGAUCAAGACUAUUGCCCUAGAGCAAGUCAGAUUUAAUUGUCUAUCUUCUUCAACAAAAUUAUGAAAGCAGGGCAGCAAGUGACCGGAAGGAGGCGGCCACCAAAAAUGAUGGGUACGUGUGCAGAGGUGCCUAGGGGAUGUGCUCCGAAACAAUAAUGGUCAGGUUGGGGGCGGGGAUUUCUGGUGACUGGUCUACACUGUAUUUGCUUAUAGUGCUUGGUAUUCUUUUCACAAAAAAUAAAGGUCUUUUCAAAGGCAAAAAAAAAAAAGCACACAUGAGAAGCAAGUGAUAAAGCACAAAGCUCAUAGAAUUAGGAAACGAAACAGAUGUAGGGCCCAAUUCCCCGACUUGUGCCACUUAGCUAUGCUGGGUCUCACCAUCUCCAUUUGCAGAUCUUGCUGAGUUGUUCUAGGGUCAGUCAGCACACCCUGCCUUGCACAUAGUAGAAACACAUUUAUAGCAAAUGUGUUGAAAAACUAUCAUCCUCAUCCCUUCAGCAGAGAUCAGAGAGGGGAGGGAGGCUUUUUAUGGUAUCCUGGGGAAGUUGUUAAAUGGAAAAAGCAACCAAGUCAAUGGCUACUUCCUAGUUUUGGCUCUGGGGACACUUGAGGGAGACAUGAUGGGAAGAUACAUAGGUGGACACUUGAAUCCAAUACCAAGAGCUCAGCUCCAGCACCUAUGUUUUUUUGUUUGUUUUUUUAUGAUUGAUCACACUUCUUUACCGUCCUUGCAACCCACCAUCUUGUGGGACUGAGGGGCCACCGAAGAGUAUGGGAUCAGAUGCCAACACACAUUCUGGAAGACCCUGUUCUCCCCUAUUUCAGUGGUGGGAGAGGGAUCAGUGGGGCUGCCCAAGAAAUAAAGCAUCAAGUUUUCAAUA